rnacentral:rRNA from 1 species
AUGAACGCUGGCGGCGUGCCUAAUACAUGCAAGUCGAGCGAACAGAUGAGGAGCUUGCUCCUCUGACGUUAGCGGCGGACGGGUGAGUAACACGUGGAUAACCUUCCUAUAAGACUGGGAUAACUUCGGGAAACCGGAGCUAAUACCGGAUAAUAUAUUGAACCGCAUGGUUCAAUAGUGAAAGACGGUUUUGCUGUCACUUAUAGAUGGAUCCGCGCCGCAUUAGCUAGUUGGUAAGGUAACGGCUUACCAAGGCAACGAUGCGUAGCCGACCUGAGAGGGUGAUCGGCCACACUGGAACUGAGACACGGUCCAGACUCCUACGGGAGGCAGCAGUAGGGAAUCUUCCGCAAUGGGCGAAAGCCUGACGGAGCAACGCCGCGUGAGUGAUGAAGGUCUUCGGAUCGUAAAACUCUGUUAUUAGGGAAGAACAAAUGUGUAAGUAACUAUGCACGUCUUGACGGUACCUAAUCAGAAAGCCACGGCUAACUACGUG